GGAUGACCUGCCUGUCGGUCUUAAAGGGAUGACCUGCCCGUCAGUCUUAAAGGGAUGACCUAUCUAUCGGCCUUAAAGGGAUGGUGUCAGUGUUUUAUGUACCUUGCUGAUGCUAUGUAAUAGGGUUGUAUAGGGUUGUGCACAAUGAUAGUCUGUGUUUACUGUGAACUGUUGUCUGUUAUUUCAUGAUAAUGAUCUGUGCCACAAACCUCGUCAUUCACAGAGUAGAAUCUACAUGUUGGGUUAGAGUGUUUCCAUCUGACAGUACAUCAACAGGAAGGAAACAGAAUUCCCUGUUAAUCCCUCAGAGCAGAAUCAUCAUGUUGUUCUAGAAUCCCUCAGAGCAGAAUCAUCAUGUUGUUCUAGAAUCCCUCAGAGCAGAAUCAUCAUGUUGUUCUAGAAUCCCUCAGAGCAGAAUCAGCAUGUUGUUCUAGAAUCCCUCAGAGCAGAAUCAUCAUCAUGUUCUAGAAUCCCUCAGAGCAGAAUCAGCAUGUUUCUCUUCUAUACAGAAUGACUAACAUUAUUCUGAUGUGGGUCCAUGUCUUGAUUUCACUAGUUUUAUUGUAUUUCAGAAUGAUGUAUGUUUCAUAAGGAUAUCA
rnacentral:lncRNA from 1 species